rnacentral:rRNA from 1 species
AGAGUUUGAUCCUGGCUCAGAACGAACGCUGGCGGCGCGUCUUAAGCAUGCAAGUCGGACGGCAAGGGUAGCAAUACCCCUAGAGUGGCGGACUGGUGAGUAACGCGUGGGUGACCUACCUUUGAGUUGGGGAUAGCCAUUAGAAAUAGUGGAUAAUACCGAAUACGAUCGCGACACUGUGGUGAUGCGAUGAAAGGAGCUACGGCUCCACUCGAGGAUGGGCCCGCGUCCCAUUAGCUAGUUGGUGAGGUAACGGCCCACCAAGGCGACGAUGGGUAUCCGGCCUGAGAGGGUGUACGGACACAUUGGGACUGAGAUACGGCCCAAACUCCUACGGGAGGCAGCAGCUAAGAAUAUUCCGCAAUCGACGAAAGUCUGACGGAGCGACGCCGCGUGGAUGAAGAAGGCCGAAAGGUUGUAAAAUCCUUUUGCUGAUGAAGAAUAAGUGGAGUAGGGAAUGAUUCCAUGAUGACAUUAGUCGGUGAAUAAGCCCCGGCUAACUACGUGCCAGCAGCCGCGGUAACACGUAGGGGGCAAGCGUUGUUCGGAAUUAUUGGGCGUAAAGGGCAUGUAGGCGGUUUUGUAAGCUUGGUGUGAAAUCCUGCAGCUUAACUGUAGAAUUGCAUUGGGUACUGCAAGACUUGAAUCACAGGGGGGAAACUAGAAUUCCAGGUGUAGGGGUGGAAUCUGUAGAUAUCUGGAAGAAUACCGGUGGCGAAGGCGGGUUUCUAGCUGAUGAUUGACGCUGAGGUGCGAAAGUGCGGGGAGCAAACAGGAUUAGAUACCCUGGUAGUCCGCACCGUAAACGAUGUACACUGGGUGUAGGGGCAUGAGUCUCUGUGCCGAAGCUAACGUGAUAAGUGUACCGCCUGGGAAGUAUGCUCGCAAGGGUGAAACUCAAAGGAAUUGACGGGGGCCCGCACAAGCGGUGGAGCAUGUGGUUUAAUUCGAUGUACGCGAGGAACCUUACCUGGGUUUGACAUCAAGUGGAAUAUGGUAGAGAUACCAUAGCGUAGCAAUACGUCGCUUGACAGGUGCUGCAUGGCUGUCGUCAGCUCGUGCCGUGAGGUGUUGGGUUGAGUCCCGCAACGAGCGCAACCCCUACUGCCAGUUACCAACACGGUUAUGGUGGGGACUCUGGCGGAACUGCCGGUGACAAACCGGAGGAAGGUGGGGAUGACGUCAAGUCAUCAUGGCCCUUAUGUCCAGGGCUACACACGUGCUACAAUGCUUACUACAAAGCGAUGCAAAACCGCGAGGUCAAGCGAAACGCAAAAAAGUAACCGUAGUUCGGAUUGAAGUCUGAAACCCGACUUCAUGAAGUUGGAAUCGCUAGUAAUCGCGCAUCAGCACGGCGCGGUGAAUACGUUCCCGGGCUUUGUACACACCGCCCGUCACACCAUCCGAGUUGAAGGUACCCGAAGUCGUUAGUCUAACCCGCAAAAAAGGGGGGACGGCGCCGAAGGUACGUUUGGUAAGGAGGGUGUAGUCGUAACAAGGUA